GCAAGUCGAGGGGCAGCAUUAUCGAAAGUUUGUUUUUGAUAGAUGGCGACCGGCGCACGGGUGAGUAACGCGUAUCAACCUAUCUUACAUUGGGGGCUAGCCCAGAGAAAUCUGGAUUAAUACUGCUUAAUAUUUUUGAAUCGCAUUGUUUAAAUAUUAAAACACCGUUGGUAUAAGAUGGGCAUGCGUAACAUUAGUUAGUAGGUGAGGUAACGGCUUACCAAGACAAUGAUAGGUAGGGGGUCUGAGAGGAUAGUC
rnacentral:rRNA from 1 species